GGAUGAAGAACGUAGUGAAAUGCGAUACUUGGUGUGAAUUGCAGAAUCCCGUGAACCAUCGAGUCUUUGAACGCAAGUUGCGCCCGAAGCCAUUAGGCCGAGGGCACGCCUGCCUGGGCGUCACACGUCGUUGCCCCCCCAUCUACUCCUUCGGGAUUGCGGGGGGCGGAUGAUGGCCUCCCGUGCGCCUCGCCGCGCGGUUGGCAUAAAUGCCAAGUCCUCGGCGACGCACGCCACGACAAUCGGUGGUUGCGAAACCUCGGUUGCCCGUCGUGUGCGGUCGUCGCGCAUCGAGGGCUCGAAAAAAUUGCCGGGUUCCGGCUCGGCUUUCAACGCGACCCCAGGUCAAGCGGGGUUACCCGCUGAAUUUAAGCAUAUCAAUAAGCGGAGGA
rnacentral:misc_RNA from 1 species